rnacentral:rRNA from 1 species
UAGGGAAUCUUCGGCAAUGGACGAAAGUCUGACCGAGCAACGCCGCGUGAGUGAAGAAGGUUUUCGGAUCGUAAAACUCUGUUGUUAGAGAAGAACAAGGACGUCAGUAACUGAACGUCCCCUGACGGUAUCUAACCAGAAAGCCACGGCUAACUACGUGCCAGCAGCCGCGGUAAUACGUAGGUGGCAAGCGUUGUCCGGAUUUAUUGGGCGUAAAGCGAGCGCAGGCGGUUUCUUAAGUCUGAUGUGAAAGCCCCCGGCUCAACCGGGGAGGGUCAUUGGAAACUGGGAGACUUGAGUGCAGAAGAGGGGAGUGGAAUUCCAUGUGUAGCGGUGAAAUGCGUAGAUAUAUGGAGGAACACCAGUGGCGAAGGCGGCUCUCUGGUCUGUAACUGACGCUGAGGCUCGAAAGCGUGGGGAGCAAACAGG